UGAUCAGUUGGGUGCCCUGUUCCACCCUUGCCUUUGGAAUCACCCUGGAAAGAUUCUUAGAUCUCUCCCAAUCUACUCACGUGGGUUUCCAUUUCUCUCAGAGUAAAGACCAUAGCCCUUGUAAAGACAAUGGCCUAGAAAGUCCUAUGUGAUCUGCUCUCCCAUCUCUACCAAACCCAGUCAGUCUCAUAUCCCUCUUUAUUCUCCCUUGAUCAUUUUGCUGUGGUGACACUGGCUUCUUUACUGUCUCUUUUACAAGUUUUCUCUGCCUUGCCCUCUCCUUUGUUGCCUAGAUAUUUAUGAAACCUACUACUUCUCUUCCUUUAGAUCUUUGUUUAAAUUCCUACUUGAUCAGAGAGGCUUUCUUUCACUGAUCACCCUAAACAAAAUAAGUUGCUCCUAACCCUGCUCCCACCCCCAUGUCCCAGGAUUGCCUGCCUUCUCUAUCCUGCUUGAGCGCUCAUCACCGGGAGCAUAUUAUGUAGUUAUUUGGUUAUAUUUCCUUCCCCUUUAGACUGGACAGGGAAUUUAUCUCUUGUUCUUUGCCGUAUCACCUUAACCUAGUGCGGUGCCUGGAAGUUAGUAAGCACUCAAUAAACAUUUUUUAAAUGACUGAGUGAAUUUCCUAGGCAAACUGGUCAGAAAUAGGCUACAGAGAAUGGAAGAGUGGCUGUACCUGUCAUUUAAUAUGCUCUCAAUACGAUUACAUUUAUUGAAAUAAGAUUUUAUUGGCGAUGAAACAAAAUGCUAUUGGGCAUACAGAAAGGCAUAAGAAAACCAGGCACUAAAUUUAAUAUUAGUCAAGCAAAUGUUCAUAGUUGGAGAAAUGAUUGAAGCUGUGUUAUGUUUUGUUACUGAGUUACAUUCAGAAGGACUGCUGAUCACACGACAAGCAAUGCAACUCAAGGCAGAAGAAAUUGCCAAAUCCCCCAGAACAAAGCAGUGAGGAACUAGUUUGACUGUCACCCAAGACUGUCUUUAAGGCAUUGUGUCAUAGUUAAUUGGCAAAGUUUGUUUCUUUCCUAAUGAUACAUGAAAUAAUGAAGUGUCUUACAAUCAGCAGAGUUUUAGCUUGGAUAAAAUAGGGUGGGUCUCUUUUCUAGAUCUUAGAAUGAUAAAACAAAUUUAUAAAUCUUAAUUUUGCCAUUUACAGUUGUUAGUUUACAUCUUAGUUUCUAAGAUAACAAAUGUUACUCUUCCGUAUUAGUUAAACCAAGAAGGGAGAGGUUUGGCCAGACACUUGUGUAUCAUUUCUUGGUUUCCUUACUGAAUGUCUUUCUCCAAGCAUUAGGUACAGAACUAGCAUAAUUGGGACCAGUUAUCCAGUCGUGAGUUUUGACUUUUGUUCUCAUGAUUAGCUUGAAGAUAAUUUUUUUCAGACAGCUGCUGGUUUGUUUUUCAAAUUUUUUUGAAAUAAUUAUAGGUUCCUAAGAAGUGAUAAAAAUAGUACAGAGAGGUCUCGAGUACCCAUCAGCUAGUUUCUCCCCAUAGUGACAUCGCCCAUAACUAUAGCACAGCUGCAGUUUUUAAUAGAUCAUUUUGUUCUUUUCCCAUGACCUGUUGGAGUAGGAAUAGAGAGAUCAGGUAAUUUCGUUAUGCUCUAAGCCACCUCACUUUAGGAGGGAGUGUUUCUGGUCACAGGUGGUGAGCCCGAAGGCAGAGUUGCUAUAGAGGGACUAAUACAUUGAUUUUCAUGACCUAGAGGAAAUAAUCACUCAGGUUAAAAUGUCUUCAAGAGUUAGUGGCCUGAAGCUCUCCAACAGAGAAACUCUUAAUUGAUUUGUUUUUGCUUCAGCACAGCUUUCUUUUGAAGCAAUCAUUUUAGAGUGAUUUCAGGUGCUCCAAAAAACCUCUUGAAAUAGAUCAACUUAAAGAUCUAGAACCUCAGUUGGAAGGAAUGUGAGGUCAACCUUACCCAUUGGAUAGGGUGAUUUCCCCCUUAAAGACCCAGCCAGGUCACUGUCGCAGUUCUUUUUAAGAUCCUUCUCUGCUUGAGACCUCUGUCCAGUUUCCACAUGAUGGACUUUUCUUACCCACAAAUCAGACAGCAGACAGGUACCUUUGUGCUUUCCUUUUCUCCUUCCAGUUAAAUACAUCUGCGUUCUCAAACCUUGUGGUGGUUUUAGCCACCCACUCCUGACCUCGCUCCUACUUGCUGCUUCUCCACAGGCUGCAGUUUUUUGAUAGCUUGGCCACGUCCUAGAGAGAAGAUAAUGGUGGUAAAUUAAGGGGUGAGCUGAGAGAGGUACAUUAUAGAAAAAAUAUGACAGAAGGUAUUUGGUACAAGAUUAGAAACUAAAGCUCAUUAUUAAAAUUAUAUUCUUCAAGUGAGGGUAGUGCCUUCCUUAUCCCAUUUCUCUUUCCUAUUUCUAUUUAUUUGUUAUCUUUCACUUGCACUUUUGGACACCCUGUACUGUCUUCUAUCCCUUGAAGCCAGACUUCUAGGGUAUGGUCUGCAUUGUGAGGGGCCCUGAUACCCCUAUCUCCUCGGUCCAAAUACUCACCUUUUGUUUUCUACUUCUGCUGACUCUUUCACUACAUCACCUCUCAGCCAAGACCACCACCUCCACCUCCACCUCCACCUCUACCUCCACCUCUAUCUCCACCAUUGUCCUCCACCUCUACCUCAUUUCCAUCAUUGUCCUUGCCCAAAUGCCUGGCCUUCAAGUUGUCUUUGCUGCUGUUUUUUAUUCUUUUCUCUUAUCACUAGAUGAGAACCACGUCAUGUCAGCAUAGUUAGUGACUAUGCUGAGACCAAACAGUCUUAAAUUCAUGUAUACUCAGCAUCAAUGAUGCCUUUGAAAAUUCUGAUUCUCCCCAGAUAAAAUAUCAGAAUGGCAACCCCUGCCCCCUGCCCCUGACCUUCAGCCUCAAACAUCUGGCAUUUUGGGAGCAGAUAAAACCCAUACAGAGUGCCCAAGGACUCUUUUCUUCAGAGGGCUGGAACUCUGAGAAUUUUCCCCUGCAAUUGCUAUUUGAAAUAUUUUUUAAAAAAAGAGAGAGAACUAAAAUAUGAACUGGAAAUUUCUGGAAACUGCCAGCCCCUUGCAAUAGAUGCUGGUCAGGAUGUGACAAAACUGGGUUUGGGAGUAUUAUUUCUACUACAUAGGAAGUUAGUUAAGAGAGCGCUGACUUGAAAGGUAGAAGGUCAAAUACUGCAAUACAAUUAACUUGGCUUAGGUGGGAUGGUAGAGAACCUGAGGGUUGGGGGUAGAGGUAGCCAAGUCACCUGUUCUAGAAACAGAUCUGGCCCAUUUUAUAUGAACCUAAUAUUGAUAUAUCUUUGUAGAUUAUGUAAAUAUAUUUUGACUAAGGUCUCCAAAAUUGUUAAUGUUCUAUAGGCAGACUUAGGGAUAUGCAAACUUGGGCAUACAAAUUGUCAUCCCUAAAGAGCUCAUCAUUACAGAUUAAAAUUUCCAAAUUGAGGAACAUAUAGAAAUAGAGAAGUAAAAGCCUUGGCUUAUUCAGAGUGGUCUUGAAUUUAUUUGGAGACCCCAGUAAAGAUACUAGCACAAAAAACAGUGUUAUAUAAAUAGAAAUGAACUUUGGAAAACCCGACAAUGUGAUAAAGACUCUAUUCUCUGAGCUCCUGGGUGUAGAAUAUUCUGUAAGGGUACUAAUUCAUAGAGAACAUUUGCUUAUCUAAAGAAUAUCCAUACCCAUGUUUAAUAAAGGAAAAAAUCAUGGGUAGGUAACUAAGCGGACAAUGUAUUUUAGCUCAUUUGUGUAGUAAAACAUGUAACAGAAUCUCAGUAGAGUUCAAAUAUGCCCUCUUGACUUCCUAAUGCAUAGACUCCGUUAAAAUAGUAUUUUAGUUGUCCAAGCCUUCCCCCUUAGCCAUUUUACACCUGGUAAUAACUACGUAAAUUCAGAAAAACAGAUUUUAUAUGUUUUGAUCCAUCUUUUUCUUAAUAUUACUCUUAGUAAAUUCUCACAUUGAUGAAGAUCUGCUUAUUUCACCCUAAGGCAAUUCAAAAGUUUGUAUGACAACUUUAUUCUCACUGCCAACUAUUAGGAAAGGAAUGCCCACUUUUCCCUGAGGGCGUGUUGUUGCAUGCAGCAUUCCCAUUGGAAUGCUCUUGAGAGGUUGAACUCAUUUUCUGAGCAAUUGUUUUUAUAAAUUCAGUAUUUUGCUUCCAGUGCUCAUGGCCAGAUAGUGUAUAACCUGGUCUCUACCCAGUAUUAUCCAUGCUGUUUUCACACUUACCUCCAAGGGCCAAAGAUUAUCUCACAGAAGCUCCGAAAGAAUUCCUGUUUCUGAAAUUCAUGUGUAAAAGGAAAUUUUUAAAGGGAAGAGGGUGAUAAUUGAGUUCAAAGUCUGAAGAAUUUUUGUCAAGGAUUAUAUUGAUUAAUAACAAAAGCUCUCUGGCAUUUUCAGGCAGACAUGUGAAAAAAAGUAGUGAUUGUAAUUAAUUUUUAGUGAGUGCCGCAUAUUUGAUAAUUGCUCUGAUUCACGCUAUUAUAUUCCUCUUCCUUCACCCACAGCAAAAUAAGCUUAAUUUGAUUCAUACCCUUAGGAAGAAAAAAAAAAAAAAGCCUAAGAUUACUCACAUGGCUGUGAUUCAGCUCUUGGCUCCCACCACCUCCUCCUCCUCCUCAUCCUCCCUUUCUCCCACCCUGCCCAGUCCCAUAUUCACUCCCACCCAGUGGUGUUGCCAUCAAAAAACUGAGUCAGUUUGUUCUUUAAAAUGGGUGGGGAAAGAAGACAACUAAUAAAAACUUUUCUGAGCGAAGUAUACUGCUUAGAGCUGAAAUCAUUGCAGGAAGACAGGCAGAGCGGCUACUUACAUAACAUGAGAAGCUUGAAACAGAGGCCAGCCCUCAUAAAGAAAUGUUCAGAUUCUUAUAUAAGACUAGUAUGGCUUGUGUGCAUGUCUGUAGAGGCAUACACAUAGCCAUGGAGGCAGGUUUCUAUGAAAAAUCUCUGAUAUUGUGGAUCUUACAUAUAAUGUAUACAGAAAGAAUCUUGUUUUCAAAGUAGGAUACUUUGCUAUAAUCAAAAAGUGAAUAUAGAAGCAAUCCAAAGAUUUUUGAUCAUUGCAAAACAUAGGUGAUAAAGACAUUUUGUUUGCCUUCAAAUGAACGUGUGACUUGGCAGCUUGAGGUUUUUUUUUUGUUGUUUGUUUUUUUGUUUUGUUUUUUGUUUGUUUGUUUUUGAUAGUGUCUUGUUCUGUUGCCCAGGCUGGAGUACAGUGGCACAGACCACGGCUCACUGCAGCUUUGAACUCCUGGGCCCAAGUGAUCUUCCCAUCUCAGCUUCCCAAGUAACUGAGACUACAGGCGCACACCACUGUGCCUGGCUAAUUUUUUUUAUUUUAUUUUUAUUUUUUGUAGAGAUGAGGUCUCACUGUGUUGUCCAGGCUGUUCUCAAACUCCUGGGCUUAAGCAAUCCUCUCACCUCGGCUUCCCAAAGUGUUGGGAUUAUAGGCGUGAGCCACUGCACUCGGCCACAAGAUUGUUUUUUGUUUCUCUCCUGAGGAACUGUAAGGUUAGUACUGAAGGUGACAGCUCACCCUUAGAGAGCUGAUGGUGGUAGCAGACAUAUAGAGGCAGCAGUCUCUGUUCCUUGCUUGUAUUUUUUCGCUUAUUCCCAUUCUUCAGAUGAAGUAAAAGCCUUAGAGAAAUGAAGGGACUCUUCUAUGUCCCCACAGGUAAUAGCCUCAGAGACAGUAUUACAACCCAGGCUGUUUGUCUUUACCCUGACUUGUAACUUUGGUUUCUGGGAGCCUGACACAGUUGGAUCAUUUGGUAUUUUAGAACUUACCCAAGACAGGAGUGGCGGUGGACAGGAAGCUCCAUGCUGGAGCUCCAAACCAGCCUUGAACUGGAACUGUUGAAUCAGGUCUGUGUGCAUCUUCAAACUGGGCUGCAACAUGGAGGGGAACAGAAUGGAGCAUUCCCCCAUCACUCAUUUGUAAUCCCAACCACCCUCUCUUCAUUUUGCUGGCUUUUCCCCCAUUAUGUUACCAUCUGUCUCCAAAACAUUGCCUGGGUAAAAACAAGCUGGAGCAGUUGCUCGCCCUCAAACAAAACACAGAACUACUUCUCCUCACUCCCAUUCCCCCCUACACUAGUGCCGAGCACCAUAUUUGAGGAAUUCCAUAUUUAUAAAGCUUGCCUGCACCUCGAUGAUGUCUGCUUGCUGUCCUUUUUAUUAUUCUUCAAAUAUGUUAUGUGCUGACUGGAAACGAUUAGCUUUUGUUACUGAGGGGUUUGUGGGAUGCUUGAAGCAGCUUCAUAUAGUUCUCAGAUGGAAAUGCGUGCUGUUUGCUCCUUUAAGAAAUGCAAUUUCUUAAUGAAAGACAGCAUAGAGGAGAAUGCAUACUGAGGUUCCCCACCCAACUCUCUGGGUUUCUCUUAGGGUAGUUGUGGUAGGGUUUUAUGUCAUGGCCCUGUGGAGCGAAUAAACAGUGGAUCUUGGGUAUUUUUUUCUGAGUCUGUACCCAUCUCUUCAUGCCUCUGACUAGGGUCCCUUGUUAAUGUCAAGGGCAGAGCUCUGUCCCCAACAGAGCUGUAGUGUUGCCCCCAGUCUCUGACCCACUCACCUUCUUUCCUGGCUGAUGACACUUCCAAUGUCCUGACACAUCUGGGCAAAGUGGAAUUGGAGUUCUUAAAUGCCCUCUCUGGCUGGCCCCAGCUCGAUUCUGCACUGGCCUUAGCAGGCUCCAGGAAGUUUGGAGAGGAAAGACCCAAACAGAUCUCAGAUGUAAAACUGGAUGAGUAUUUCAACUGCUGAAACUUUAGGAGGAAAAUAUGGAUGGGCUACGUGUUUGUCAGCAUUAGUAAAAUAGUUACUAGUGAUUCUUUUUUUUAAAAAGUUAUGGAAUCAUAUUUUUCUCAUUCAGAAGUGUUACUUAGGGAAUGACUGAGAUGUGUAUGACUCCAGAGUUCUCUGUCAGACACUGUUCUCAGCACUUAACAUAGAAUCAUUUUUUAAUCCAGGUGCCACAGCUAGGAACAGCAGAACCAGAAGUCAAAUCCCAGCAAGUCUGACUCCAGAAGCUAGACUCUUCAAAGAUGUCAUAGGUCCUUUUAGAUGCCAGAGUUUUAGAUGUUCCAUUUUAUUCACGUUCUAUUUUCAUAGCCUGUGUUUAUUUCCAUUGAAAGCCAUAUAAUUAUAGACUUUAUGUUCUGUAUCUCAGCAAGGUAACUGUCUUUAAGCCAAUAAAAAUACAUUACUACUGAAGUAUGAAUAAGUUUUAAUAACCGAGAAAUACAUACACAUGGUUAAAGUAGAAUUUAAAAGUGUAAUUUGGAAGUGCUCUCGAAAUAGUUUCGUGUGAUCUUAAUUUCUGAAAAUCAAUUCUGUAUGUAAAUUGAAUGUAGUGUUUAUUCCAGUAAAACCCUGCAGGAAGUCUUUUUAUAAAGUGAAUAAUCAACUCCUGAAUUAACUGUUAGACAUGGUUUCAGUGUGUAUACCUUUUCUGUGCUCUCAUCUACCAAUCCGAAAAUUAGAUAUCUGAACAUUUUUCUGUGUUUCAAAUGUUGGAUGUAUUUCCUGUAUUGUAAUAAAACUAGUUAUCCAUCAAGGCAUAAUCAACAAUAAAUGCCAAGCCUUAGUCAGAGCAGUUGCUGACUUUGCUCAAGGUUAAAGGAAGUAUGCUGAAAAGAGAUAACUGUAGUUAAAUUGCUCAGCCCAAGCCUUCCAGAUUUUUCAUGUGGGGAAUUGCACUUCUUAUUACUGUAUUCUUCCUGUCUACAUAAUACCUGGGAACAAUUUACUCCAUGUAAUGCCACUCCCAUCUUGGUAGUAAAGUUUUUACUGAAGAGGAAGGCUUCUAGGGCAUGUCAGUAUAUUUAAUUGGAAUUUUCACUGGUGAUUUUCAAGUUUUUAUUUCACAGCUUUUAGGCAGGUCGAGACUAAAGGACUGUACAGAUUUGUUGGUGAUGUGAUUGUAUUACGUGUGUGCUGUGUGUGAGUAGCUCAGCUUAGAGUGUGAAUUGCAGUAAAUGCAAAAGUGAAAGCUGCAACAUGGCUCUCAUGCUCCCAACCACUUCCUGAAGAACCCGCCACGCGGGCCCCAGACUUAGAGAUUUGAAUCUUCAGGAUGGAAAGAGUCCAAGUCCCUCAUGGUAAAGACCUCAAGUAAACCUAAAUGUAGAAAACCUGUUCGCUACUCUUGUGUGAAUUAAAACGUUUGGUUGCCUCCAUUGUAAAAAUUUCAGUGCACAAUUCUGAAAUUUAAACUAUUAGGGAACAGAGCCAGAGCGUUGCCAUACCUUAAAAAUAAUCUUGCAUCUCUCCUGUUUACAUGAUUCAAUUCUUGAAACCAGUUGGAAUGUGCAUCCUGAUCUCUAAAUGUACAAGUUAUUUAAAAAAAAUGUGAGCUUGUCAGCUUAGCUACAGCCACCAGUCUAAUAAAACUGAGUCACAUCCAAAUGGGCUGCACUUAAACUACCCUCCCAUUCUAGGGAAAACGUGGCUGGGGGAGGCAGUCUGAGUCAUCACCUGGUUUGUUUGACAUACACUUCCUUCCAUAAAUUGGGAAUGGCAAGCGGCACAGUGUUCUGGGCUUGCCUGGGAGAAGGAGCUGUUGCAGCCUUGCACGAUCAAAAUAGGGCCUUUAGGUUUGAAGGAUGAGGUUGAGCCCAUAUUUUGACUCCAAAUGUCGGGGGAGGGGAGAAGUCGACAGAUCUAAACAAGGAACAUUUGUAAGUACCAUUUUUGGAGGUCGGAGCAAUGGUAGGGGUGUUCACAGUUGAAUUUCUUCCUAGGACAUAAAAGGUGUUUAAGAGACAAAUUGGGGGCAUUCAAAUAAAAAUAAAUGGGUAUCUAGUUCACCAGGUGGGCUCGUUUACUUAACAAGAGUAUCCUUGAUGUGGACAGUUCAAAAUGAUUGAGAGAGAGAUGAUUUGGUAGUUACCAUACAAAUCUGUUCUGACGAUGUUUAAUUUCACUUAAUUUAUUUAACUAUUUUAAAAGAAAUGUAUUUCACUUAGGAAUCUUUUCAUGGCAAAUUUGAAUCUCCUUCAGGGGUAUUUUGAGGGGAUGGGAAGAGAGGCUCGCUCAUGUGUCUCGCACAUUUUCUUACAGCGGUUUUGCAGAGGCUCACUGGAGCUUUUUAGAAUAAAAAAGUUUAGAAUGUAAAAUUAUUGGAGACUAUAGAGGAAGGGGAAGGAGGAGUAGAUUUAUAGCUGAAGUGGGUUUGUAAACUCAGCGUCUGCUUUGGGAUUAUUUUUUAAUAUGUGCCAGACAUUCUUCUGAUUUUCAUCCUGGCUUGGUUGUGGCUCUUUCUCUGUCUGUGUGAGGCUGGGGUGUUCCCUGUUUUAAAGCCGUAGUUGUCGCAGCCUGGGCGUUUUCUGUUUCGGCUUAUGGCUUUUUUUCUCUUUUCCUGAAUGAGUGUCCUUUGUGUAACCCCAGUAAUUCAGAAAUCCUGCAGUCAUAGGGACUGCCCUAUCAUGUGACUUAGGUACUAGGUGCUGGCUGCGAUUGGUCAGCAGCUAAUUGGCGGGUCCCUAUAAGAGGUCUUGGGUCGGGCGUCCGGCCACUCUCCUGCCUGGGCUGCUGCUCAACGGGGGCUGGGGGUGUGUGGGGCGGGGGUGGUCUGUCCAGUGAUUCAGCCACAUGUGAUAGAUGACCAAGUGACUGCUUUCUUGGAGUCCGCACACCAGUGGAAGGCUCUCAAAGUGACUGUGACCGACUUGAUCAAACUCUAGGCUUCCUGAGCUGGAAUGAAAUGCAGAUAACUCUUUAGAAAACUUUUGUAGGAAAAGCGCCUCGUGUGAUCUGGAACAAAGACGUUUUAUAAUCAGAUUUAUCAAGCUGCGAAGAGGGAGUUUUAGUGAACGGAAGCAGCAGCAUUCUGUCACCAGGAAAUACUCCUUUAUCCAGAAUUGGUAAGUGAAAAGUGGCAUUGCUCCCUAAUAGAUAUCAUAUGUGUGUGUGGGAAUUGAAAAAUUGUUCACAGACCCCUAACAACUGUGUUGAACAGAGAACACAUAAACAGUGAGGAGUUCUAAAAAAGAGCAGCACAAGAAUACGGCAUAAAGACUGAGAAGAAGCCAGGUAAUUAACAAAAAUGAGCUGAGUGCUAUCAGUUUAGCUAAACAUAUGUAAUACAGCUAGAUUUGGUUGUUUUAUUUUUUCUUGUUAGUGGAGGAGAAACAUAAAAUCGGAAUGGGCUGUUUAGUAGAAUUGCGACAUUAACUUUCCAUGGAUGUAGAUUUCCGUUUAGUCUGAAUAGCAUGUAUGAAAUUUGAAGGGAUGCUUUCGGAAUUAGUCUUCUUGCCCUCCUUUCCUUUCCUCUGCAUUAAGAUGUCAAGUAUUUAGUUAGAACCUUACAAGAUGAAAGUUGUACAAAAUGAAAGUUCAAGUAAUGCGUCGGAAACACCUCCUCCUGAUUGGGAAGGGUAGAUUACAACGGCAAUAGAUUUUUGUUUUUUGUUUCUUACAUUUGUGUCACGAAUUUUAAGUUUAUUCUAUUUGAUUACAUUAGUACAGCAAAAGGGGGGUUAUUUCUAUCUAUAUGGUUCAUGACAUUUUGAGAGAUCGUGAUUAGUAGUUCUUACUGGUUUCGUAUGCAUGUUCCUGCCUGUUGAAUUCAGUUUUCUGAUCUUGAAUCUGAGCUGCCUUUACGUUAAAGGGUUCUAGAAAAAGACAAUAAAGCUUUGAAUACCUGUGUUAUAUACAACAGGUUCCUGUUCAUGAUGUAUAAGGUAACGCAAUUUUAUUUUAGGGAUGAAUGUCUAAUUUCUUGAUUUGGCUUCUUAAGAAUAUACCGAAAAGGUUGAAUAGAAUAAGAAAAAGAACAUUAAAAAAGAAUGGUGGGUGACUGCCUGAUUUUACUAGUUUCUUAUUGGUCAGUAGAAGUAAUCAUGUGAUGUCUACUUAUAGAAAGAAAUGGAAAAAAUUUUUAUUCUUUAACUGCUAACAAUUAUAUAGGCAAUUUUAGCAAUCUUCAUUUAUUAAUUUGAAUAUAUAAUUAUAACUGUUAUUAACAGAAUAAGUUUUGGGUAAUAUAGGAAAUAAUUAUUUCUUUCUUUUUAAGCCAAAUUGGAAGUUGAAUCUACGUUUGGUUCCUAUUCUGUUACUUUCAAAAUCUUAAAAUCCUUAACUCAAAAGGGAAAAUGUAUAAUAAAACAGGAUAGCAGUGCUGAAAUUUCUCUCUCUUAGCAGUGGAGUGAGAUGAGGGUGGGGGAGGGAGAUGAAUCUAGUGAGAUAUAUUAAUUGUUUUUUCCCCCUCUUGUAUACUUGGAUAACUUUUGAGAUCAUUUUUCUCGGACUAGCAGCUCUCAAGCCUUUUGCAUAAGUAUUUAUUCUUAAAGAAAUAGAAAGACAAGAUAAGCACGGCUCUUAAGGGCAGGUCCUCCAAUAAGUCAGGAAACUGGUGAUCCAAACUUGUGAAUAUGACAAGUCAAUUUGACUUAAUUAAGGAGUGGCAUUAGUUUUCUUGAAGCACAUGAAUUUAUAGGUUUUUAGAGUCUUGAAGACAGAAAAAUGGCAACAAAGCAUUAAGGUAUUUACAGGUAAUUUAUAUUCAACUGCUAGCUUAUGUUUUCAACUCUGUAUUUCAUGUAAGUAAAUACUUGGGGAGAACGUGAUGAUUUAAUAAUCUGGAUAAAUACUGCCAUGCCUGUUGGAAAAAAGCCUCUAAUUUUUAGGUUUUCCUCAUCCAUUUAAAAUCCAUUGUUUUGAAUGACAAAAUGUGAUAGAAGCAGGUUGGAACAGUAAAUGCUAGAGAGUAUAUCCCAGAAGAAUUAACUGAGAACUUCAUGUUUUCAAUUCUGUUUGCCGUUCUCUGUUCUCAAUUUAUUAAUUUUUAAAAGUACAUUGCAAGUGAGUAGCAUUGCUUGCUCUGAAUUCUCCUCUGGGGUCAUUGAGAGUAUUCACAUUUUCGUAUACCCUGUUAAAAGAUAUUAAUGCCAUGCAUAUGCUUUUGUCUUUGUGGGUAUGUAAAACAACCAACUGAAGGGAUCUGGUCAAGAGACAGACCUCAAAAUAGUUUCUCUGAAAUAGUAUUUGAAUUUGCAUGUUCGGGAAUGUAAAUGCUUUCCCUUUGGGCUUGUUUCUGAAGUUUUUGGUGUAGUAUACAGUUUUACCCAAUUAAAUUUUUCUUUUGAGGUCUGUAUAUGUAUGGGUGUCUAUAUUUGAUUUGAAGGGGGAGUUUUAAUCAUUAGCGAAACAAGUGGCUGUUUGUUAGAACCCAGAUAAGCCUCAUAGUGUUGUUCCUAUGACAACUGAGUAGUUGGGUGUUGAAAUGUAGCUUUAAGUUCUUGGUUUGGAAAUGUCAUUCAGACCUCCCACUAUAGUCUCAUUGAGUAGGAGGAUAAUGAGAAGGGGAAAAACCAUGAAGCAACAUAAGUAUCUCCGUUCGUUUCAUGUCUUCCUGACUUGUCUUUGUGUACAGGAUCGCCAUGGGAGUGGUAAACAUAGGUCUUGAACAAAGCAAUACUUCAAUAAAAAAAUACAUGGAAAGGGGUCAGAAAAGUUGGGGAAGAUAAACAACAACACAUGGGGGCAAUAAAGAGGCAAGAGAAAUAGGCUUCCAUGGGUUUCUGCAAAUCCUUUAUCCAGUACUGACCAGCAGUGAGAACAUCUUGAACCAGUUAUUGUAUAGCUCUUCAAGAGCUGUGAAUUUCCUUAAAAUGCAAUGUGGAGAAAAUUCCUUUGGUAGCAGGAUGGUUUACCACUUUGGCAUAACAUUUAUUCAUCUCCCCCAGGCAGACUACAGAGGAUACUGUGUUCUUUUAAGGCACAUGUUUUUAAACCAGUUGUUCAUUUGUCAUUUAAUAGCUUUUGUCUUUUUUCUAUGGGAAAGACAGGUUGUACUAUUAAAAUAGUGAUAAAAUUUAAGUAUUUUAUUCUGUAUUCAAAAAGUGUUUUUGAAAAGUACUUAGAAAAAGAUUGUUUGAGACCUGUUGUUUGUGGAAAUGUCUGUCAAUGGAGAAUCUAUGGAGCACUGUAUUUGAGGAGAGGGAUUGUUUAGACUAAUAUUUGGCAUAGCUUAAUUAUGCAGUUGUUGAUUUUCCAUGUCCGAAGGUCUUCCUAUUUCCUACUCCUAAAUAGUUUUAACUAUUUAUUUGGUUGCUAGAACCUCCUGAAGUUAGAAAGAAAAAGAUUUCAGUGGGGUUAGUCUCUUACUUAAUAAAUAUAUGCCCACCAUCUCUUCUGUAAUCCAAAAAGCUCUGAAAAUCAAAAGAUUUUCAUGUAACAAAUUUGGCAGCAAAUCCUGACCUGAACUGAUGUGAAGCUAGUGAUAGUCUUUGUUUAGCUCGCUCAGAAUGAAUCUUUUUAUGUUUUACUGUAGAAGUAUUAAUGUGUUUGAUCAUGGAGUAUUGUUCCAGACUCUCCUAGAGGUUUAAAUACUAUGUUGAAUAGUCAACCUAUUACUUUUAUAAAAUAAUAAUAAUAAUCAAUCUGAGUGUCAGGUAAGCAUUUGUGGACCCAUAAUUACUGACAUACAUUGAGUUCAUAUUAUAUGCCAGGUACCGUUCUAAAUGAAUCACUGGCAUCUAAGAACAGUGUCUGGCACAUAGUAGGUACUUAGUAGACAUGUUUUGGUAGGAACUGCUUUACACUUAUUAAAUUCUUUAACUCACAAAAACAGUACACAGGAAGUAGUGGAGCCAAGAUUUGAAAGCAGACAGUCUAGCUCCAAUCUGCUCUUAAUGAUUCUGAUGCAGGUACAAGAGAGGACUGGAGAUGUGGCACUGGACUUCUUAACUGAGUCAGAGGGGGUGUUUGAGUGAUUUACUUUAUUCAUAGUCACCCUAUACCUCCUACGAUCAAGAGCUGGUGCUAUCACCACUAUGAUCAUUAACCGGGGCUGUGGUGGAAUGCUUAUAACAGGUUCUCCUGGGUGGGAGUGUAGGAAUUCCAGGGGUCUGAACUCUCCUCACAGGCUUCCCAAGGUGAUCUCCAUCAGUAAAUCAGCCCGACUUUUUCAUCUUGAAAAAUUAAGACAUAGGAAAUAACUCUUUCCUUAACCCUAAGGAAGUUUCCUUGAACAGUGGGAAAAACCUUUCUGUAGACAUUCCUUAGACCCCUUACCCAGCAGGAGGUGUGGAAUCAAUAAAGAGGGCAUGGGUCACCUCCAAGGUUGUGAGCUCCCUGGCUUGGGAACUACACUGGGACACAGCAAAGCCUCUUGGGAGAAAUCAGGCAGCCCAUGGAGCUUCAGCUGCAUGACUCUUUGAAUUCACAAAAGGAUACCUUUAACAGUACUUCUCAAAAAAUGUAUAUAAGGCAUGUCUCAAGUCCCUAUAUGUUUCUAGGGAUAAAAAAAAUUCAUUUCAAACUGAUGGCAACCUCCCCAUUCUAUUCCCCAGCUUUCUAUCCUUCUUCCUGCUUAAUUUUUCUUCUUAGCACUUGCCUCUGUCUGACAUAUUGUAUGUCUUACUUAUUUACUCAUUUGACAUUUUAGUUAGACACUAGCAGUAUUGUUUUCUUUGAAUACAUUUAAAGGUCCUAGAUGUAUUUCUUUUUGAUGUUCAUCUUCUAACUCAUUCCCUCCUAUCAAUCUCAGACUGCUGUAAACAAAUGAUUUUUUUGCCCAUUUUUUUUUUACUGUUAGUUAUCAUAUUUAUUUUUCUUAAACAAGCUGUACUGGUUAUACAGUCUGAAUUUGGAGAAUAGACGUCUUCAUUCAGGAGGGGAAAUUGAGCCAAGUUUGAAUAUAAUCAUUGGGUAACAAAUCCAGAAGAUUAAGUUACUAAGGAGAACAUGCAAAGUAAACACUUGCAUUUUAUGAACUACCUUCAAUUUAAAUAGACAACUGGGUAACUGUAUAUGACAUGUUUUGGGAGCAAGACCUGUUAAACCUACCUACUUCCUACUGUUUUCAUUUGAAAAAUAAAUCAAUUAUUAAACAGUUAUUCUACACAUUUAAAGACUGUAAGUGAUUUAACCUUGAAUAUUUCUUGACUCAAAUUCUUAAAAUCCUCAACUCUAACCUCUUGUUCUUCAACCCCAUAUUUAUUCUAGUUUAUUCUUUCCAACAUAUUUAGGAUAAUCUAAAACAUAAAGUGAAAAAAACCCACAUAUAUUAUUAACUAUAAACAAUGUGGUUAUGUAAAUGCAUCAUUUUAGUUGAUUUUUCUUCUUUAGCCUAGUUCUUUUUUUCUUUUCUUUUCUCUUUUUUUUUUUUUUUUUUUUGAGACAGAGUCUUGCACUGUCACCCGGGCUGGAGUGCAAUGGCGUGACCUCGGCUCACUGAAACCUCCACCUCCUGGGUUCACGUGAUUCUCCUGCCUCAGCCUCCCGAGUAGGUGGGAUUACAGGCGCACACUGCCCGGCUAAUUUUUUUUUAUUAUUUUUUUAUUUGAUUAUUUAUUUAUUUUUAGUAGAGACGGGGUUUCACUAUGUUGGCCAGGCUGGUCUUGAACUCCUGACCUCGUGAUCUGCCCGCCUCUGCCUCCCAAAGUGCUAGGAUUACAGGUGUGAGCCACCGCACCUGGCCUAGACUAAUUCUUAAAGGAACAGAUUAGAUACAUAUAAAAGUUGAAUUUAGUAUGCUUUUGUAAGUUAAUAUAAUGAUUGGGACAUUUUGUUUUCUUAGCUGUGCUUUAUAACAAAAUAGUUCUAGUUACUUUCUUUUAAAUGGUUACUAAAGUAAUAACUUGCUUUUUAAAAACAUAGUAUAACUAUUUAAGGUAGACUAUGAAGAGUAGGCUGAGGUUUCAUUUUAAAUUAUCUCCCCUUUCUGCCAUGGAAGAGUUUAAUUCCCCUGAUGUGCUUAUGGUAUUGAAAGCCCGUUGUUGGUGUUGGUAUUGAAAGAAAGCUUAGUUUUUCUGCGUUUCCUAAAAGGAGAGGGAAGAAAGAUUUUUAAAAGUGAAAAUCCAUUGAUUUUUUUUUCUUGAUUAGGAUUUGUGUAAUAUAUCUGAAGUGGGACUAGAGUUCUUAAAGUUGAGAGAAACAGUAAAUAUGUACACGCCUGGCAAAACUUUGCAGGGAACAUUCAGAGUUCAGAUUACCUGAAAAAAAUAUUGAAAGCUUCAGACAUUUUCCAGAGAGUGUUAGUGUGUGAAAGUGGUACCCAUGACCCCAAGAGGGUGUCCAUUCACACAUCCAUUGAAGUGGUUUACUCCCUAAGAGGCCCAGGCUUUGGAAAUAAGUAGAUUUGUGCUUUAAGCUCCCUUUGCCCCUUGCUAGCUGAGUGAGCUACUCCGCUAUUUCCCUGAGCCCCAGAGUGUAGAGCAUCAGAAGUAGUGCACAGGUUUGUUGCAUGAGAUAACACAUAUAAAGCACAUGCUGUGGAUCCUGGAGUAAUGGUGCUUAACACACUUGCAUUCCCUUCCAAAAUCCCUUUGGGAACAGACUUCUUCAGUUUAGUCCUAAAGCCUGUAGAUCCAUGCUAAGUGAUAUGACUUUUUUUUCACAUCAGAUUAAGCAAAACACUGAUGAUGGUGACUGUCGCUUAUUGUGCAGUUACCAUGUUCUGGACAGGCACUGUUGUAAGGGCUCUACCUACAUAGACCCAUUUUUCCUCAUGACAAACUAUUGGUGCAAUUAUCAUGCCCAUUUCAUAGAUGAACACACAGAGGCACAGAAAGGUAAAGGAACUUACUUAGGGCCACUCAUCUGUCAUGGAACCAGAAUCUAAAUCCAAAUAGGCUGUUUCCAGUACAGAUGGUAAGUACAUGUACUUCUGGCAGGAAAGCAGAAUAAAAGUUGACUGAACCUGAAAGUCUCGGAAAUGGUCUUCUCAUUUCUAUUCUGUAAAGUGUCACGUCUUCUAGGCCUACCUCUCUCAAUAUUGAAAUACAAAAUUAACUUUUUCUGCUUUUUAUUUCACAAAUCAACGGGAACAGUCUUAGUCAUUUGUGUUUUAUGAGUUUUAAUUAGGCCACUGCAGUCCAGGAGGGGAAUUCCUUGUUUUCAGUUGAUCUCAUAUACUAACAAGUUUAAUCAUGUAACUUCCCCUAUUUUUUUCUCUAAUGUCUUCACUUGAAAGUGGGGGUGGGAGGGAGAAGUAUGUUAGCAUUCGAGUCCUAGGAAUGCACCUACAUCAACCUUUCUGGAAAUUCCUUCUUGCUGCUAUAGAAGUAAUCCACAGAAAAGUGAAACGUGUAAGAAUCUGUAUUUACUAAUAUUUUUUUUCUUUAUCUCCAUCUAGUUCUGGAUAUUUUCCGGAGGAUGGGGUAAAACUUCUAGAUAAAGAAGUACAGGAAGCCAUCUAUGUGCAUAAAACCUUAUGUUUGGGUGUGGACUUAAUUUUCAGAAUAUGGGAAAGGGGUUUCACAUUGAGAAUUUCCUCUUUCAGAUGUAGAUUGAGAAUUUUGACUUAGAAGAUGAGGGCAGGUUAUCUUAGCCCGUGGGUUCAGAGUGCUUGGAAAUCUCUUUAAAAAAAAAAGAAAAAUCCCCUGGCCUUGGACUGAGCCUGCUCUUGGGGGAUUUAUUAAUCAUGCCUGCCUUCAUUCUUUCCUUUGUUUGUUCGUUCCUUCCUUUGUUCAUAUUCUCGCAUAAGUCGUUCAACAUCUACCUGCAAAUAGGUGAAAGAAAGGAUGGGGGUGAGAGUCCAUCGGGGGACGGGAGAGGAGUAGCAAUAAACUCACUCUAUGUUCCUUUCACCUCACUGACUGCAUCUUGUAUCUGAUUGUUUGCCCCUUUUGAGACAACGCAUAUUUCGCAGAGAGACACUCAUAACACUCGUGAAGGUCUUCAAGCAUCUUCCUUUGGGAGCCCAGUUUCUUUUUUUAAAGUGAGAGGAGAAAAUGCUUGUGAGGGAAAAACAAUGCAGAGAAAUGGUUUUUCUUUCUUUCUUUUUAAUGUUGGCGGAAGAAGGGUUCAUAGUAGGGAAAAUAUCAGUAAAUAUAAUCUAAGAGCACCCAUGCUUUCAAAUAAUUUCCUUGUUUAAAGAAUAUUAAGUGCAGUGGUGUUUACAAUUAAUGAUCACAACCAGUUACAGAUUGCUUUGUUCUUUCUCUACUCCUGCUGCUUCACUUGCCUACGCUUAUAAAAAAAAAAGAACAUUAAGAGACAACAAAGGCCAUCACAAAGAUGUCUUCAAAAAUAAUUUUAAAAUAGAAUUUUAAUUAAUUUAAAGGUAAGAAAUGUUGCCAUGCCCUCAAUCAAAUUUAUUAUGACUUUUUGAAAAUAUCUCUAAGUAAAUAUAUAGAAAAUGAGGAAUGAAGAUAGGGGAGGGCUUUUGGAAUUUGUACUACUAUUCUUUCAAAAAAUAUUACUCGUCUCCAUGCUGCAGUUAGGAAUACGCUUCCUUAAGACAGAGUCAUUAUCUUUACUUGUUAUUUAAGUCUUGAUAUCACCUCCUAUAGUUUUUGAAAGACAUCGCUCUUCAAGUUUUCUUCAAUGGCACAAACUAUACCUGUGCAUUUUCUGAAACAAGUUUGACCAUACCAGCAAAGGCAAUGAAAAUGCUUUGUCUUUCAGCAUGACAUGUGAAGUCUACAUUAUUAGUAGGUAUGUAUGGCCCAAGGGAAGAAAAUGUUAAAGUAGAUUUAAAAACAAAAACAAAA